GUGAGGAAUAUUGGUCAAUGGACGAGAGUCUGAACCAGCCAAGUAGCGUGAAGGAUGACUGCCCUAUGGGUUGUAAACUUCUUUUAUAAGGGAAUAAAGUGAGGGACGUGUCCCUUUUUGUAUGUACCUUAUGAAUAAGGAUCGGCUAACUCCGUGCCAGCAGCCGCGGUAAUACGGAGGAUCCGAGCGUUAUCCGGAUUUAUUGGGUUUAAAGGGAGCGUAGGUUGACAUAUAAGUCAGCUGUGAAAGUUUACGGCUCAACCGUGAAAUUGCAGUUGAUACUGUAUGUCUUGAGUGUACAAGAGGUGGGCGGAAUUCGUGGUGUAGCGGUGAAAUGCUUAGAUAUCACGAAGAACUCCAAUUGCGAAGGCAGCUCACUGGGGUACAACUGACACUGAGGCUCGAAAGUGUGGGUAUCAAACAGGAUUAGAUACCCUUGUAGUCC
rnacentral:rRNA from 1 species